GUCGAGUUGUUUGGGAAUGCUGCUCAAAAUGGGAGGUAAACCCCUUCUAAAGCUAAAUACUGGCCAGAGACCGAUAGCGCACAAGUAGAGUGAUCGAAAGAUGAAAAGCACUUUGAAAAGAGAGUUAAACAGCACGUGAAAUUGUUGAAAGGGAAGCGCUUGCGACCAGACUUGUGCUCGUCGAAUCAGCCGUCGCUCGUCGGCGGCGCAUUUCGGCGGGCUCAGGCCAGCAUCAGUUCGCUGUGGGGGAGAAAGGCGGUAGGAAUGUGGCUCCUCGGAGUGUUAUAGCCUACCGUAUAAUACCCCUCGGCGGACUGAGGACCGCGCAUCUGCAAGGAUGCUGGCGUAAUGGUUGUCAGCGACCCGUCUUGAAACC
rnacentral:rRNA from 1 species